GAUGAACGCUGGCGGCGUGCCUAAUACAUGCAAGUCGAGCGAACAGACGAGGAGCUUGCUCCUCUGACGUUAGCGGCGGACGGGUGAGUAGCACGUGGAUAACCUACCUAUAAGACUGGGAUAACUUCGGGAAACCGGAGCUAAUACCGGAUAAUAUAUUGAACCGCAUGGUUCAAUAGUGAAAGACGGUUUUGCUGUCACUUAUAGAUGGAUCCGUGCCGGUUGAGCUAGUUGGUAAGGUAACGGCUUACCAAGGCGGCGAUGCGUAGCCGACCUGAGAGGGUGAUCGGCCACACUGGAACUGAGCCACGGUCCAGACUCCGACGGGAGGCAGCAGUAGGGAAGCGUCCGCAAUGGGCGAAAGCCUGACGGAGCAACGCCGCGUGAGUGAUGAAGGGCUUCGGAUCGUAAAACUCUGUUAGUAGGGAAGAACAAAUGUGUAAGUAACUAUGCACGUCUUGACGGUACCUAAUCAGAAAGCCACGGCUAACUACGUG
rnacentral:rRNA from 1 species